CUCUUCUUGUAUUGUGUUUUGAGGUACGGCCUGCCCGCUGAUAUUUAUUGAAGGGCCGCGGUAUUUUGACCGUGCAAAGGUAGCAUAAUCAUUAGUUCUUUAAUUGUGAACUGGUAUGAAUGGUUUGACGAGGUGCUAGCUGUCUUCUGUGAAAUAGUUAAUUGAAUUUGGUUAUUGGGUAAAAAUACCUAGAUUUUUUUAUGGGACGAGAAGACCCUAUAGAGUUUUAUAUAGUUUCUUCUGCUUUUGUUAGUUUGUUUUUUAUGGAUAUUCUGUAUUUAGUUGGGGUGAUGGGAAGAUAUAAUUAACUCUUCUUUGUUGUGUAUAUUUAUUUAUAUUUUUUUUGAUCCUUUUUUAUUGAUUAUAAGAUUAAAUUACC
rnacentral:rRNA from 1 species